rnacentral:lncRNA from 1 species
AAAGAACUUUAAUCAUAGGGCCACCAAAUGAGGAGAGGGGAGGGAGCCUCAGAUUCCUCUCCCUGAGGUUAGGGUUUUUUAAGGAUUUUGGAGUGGACUGAAUAGUGAAGAAUACUGAUUGGUUGAAGAGUGCAGGGUGAAGUCAUGGGACAGGAAGAUGAAGAAACUGUAUUUUUUCCUGAUUUGAUUCCUCUGUGGGUGUCUUCCAACUGACUGGCUUCAGCCAUUCCCCUGGAAUUUGGGAUUUCAAAAACAUCUUAAGUAAUGCUUACACAAAAGCCUUAUAAUUCUGUUAGAGAUCUUGCCUAAGGAACAGUGAGGAUGCAAACUGUCAGUAUCUAGUGCUCUGUGACUUUUGGCAAUAAGGAAGUGGGCCAAAGUGCAGCAUGACUGAUGUUUAAUUAUAACCAUACUUCUGUUUGGAAUUUUUGCUAACCCUGUGAAGAAGGCUUCCCUUGCUUAUUGGCUGAAGGUCUACAAGGACUUGAUUCACAUAUCUGAUCAUACCUGGAGUCCAGACUUCCUCCUGAUGCCUGUACUUUGA